GACGUAGGGGGCGAGCGUUAAUCGGAAUUACUGGGCGUAAAGCGUGCGCAGGCGGCUUUGCAAGUCAGAUGUGAAAUCCCCGGGCUUAACCUGGGAACUGCAUUUGUGACUGCAUGGCUGGAGUGCGGCAGAGGGGGAUGGAAUUCCGCGUGUAGCAGUGAAAUGCGUAGAUAUGCGGAGGAACACCGAUGGCGAAGGCAAUCCCCUGGGCCUGCACUGACGCUCAUGCACGAAAGCGUGGGGAGCAAACAGG
rnacentral:rRNA from 1 species